UACGUAGGGGGCAAGCGUUAUCCGGAUUUACUGGGUGUAAAGGGAGCGCAGACGGCUUGGCAAGUCUGAAGUGAAAGCCCGGGGCUUAACCCCGGGACUGCUUUGGAAACUGUGAAGCUAGAGUGUCGGAGAGGUAAGUGGAAUUCCCAGUGUAGCGGUGAAAUGCGUAGAUAUUGGGAGGAACACCGGUGGCGAAGGCGGCUUACUGGACGAUAACUGACGUUGAGGCUCGAAGGCGUGGGGAGCACACAGG
rnacentral:misc_RNA from 1 species